GUAACAAGGUUUCCGUAGGUGAACCUGCGGAAGGAUCAU
rnacentral:rRNA from 1 species